UACGUAGGGUGCAGGCGUUAAUCGGAAUUACUGGGCGUAAAGCGUGCGUAGGCGGUUUGUUAAGACAGGUGUGAAAUCCCCCGGGCUUAACCUGGGAACUGCGCUUGUUACUGGCAGACUGGAGUGUGGCAGAGGGGGGUGGAAUUCCUGGUGUAGCGGUGAAAUGCGCAGAUAUCAGGAGGAACACCGGUGGCGAAGGCGGAUCUCUGGGCCUUACCUGACGCUGAGGCGCGAAAGCUAGGGGAGCGAACAGG
rnacentral:rRNA from 1 species